UACGGAGGAUGCGAGCGUUAUCCGGAUUUAUUGGGUUUAAAGGGUGCGCAGGCGGCGAGUUAAGUCAGCGGUAAAAUUUCGGGGCUCAACCCCGACAAGCCGUUGAAACUGGCUUGCUAGAGUGGGCGAGAAGUAUGCGGAAUGCGUGGUGUAGCGGUGAAAUGCAUAGAUAUCACGCAGAACUCCGAUUGCGAAGGCAGCUUACCAAGCUACUUCUGACGUUGAGGCACGAAAGCGUGGGGAGCAAACAGG
rnacentral:rRNA from 1 species